CACUACAAAGGUGACAAUAAAAAAGAUAAUACUAAACUUGGAGGAAGGGAAGUACAUAGAGAAGGAAGAGAUAAUUUUAUAAUUGACAAUAGUAAGAACAAAGAGGACAGAAAUUAUUAUAUAAACGUAGCUUUGUAUAAAGUAGCCUUUGUAUGCUAUAAUUUUACCUUUACAAAUUGCAUUUGGACUUUCGUCUCCAUUUCUUUCCAUCUUUCAGCACCAACUCCUCAGUCUUCCAACACAGACCCUUCAGCUUUCCAACACGGACUCACACCAGACUCUUCACUGAGCACCAGGCCUUCAACCUUCAACUGGAUCCUCUGACCCCUCAGCAAAGAGAUCCCCAUUCUGUGUUCUUCCACCGGUUUCCACAGGAUGCCAUUAUAAGACUACCUUGUACUCUACAUGAUCAUAAAAAUCUGUUUCUCAAGUGAACCCUAACUGAUACAACUUCUUUACCAUUAAAAGAAUCAAUUAACUGUGAGAUAUUAAAUAAUAUUAAAUACCAUAGGACGAUACCUAACCUGUUAUUAAUAAAGGCAUCUAUUUGUUUGCACCUCCAUUUGAGUGCUUUCCACAUUAAGCUCAUAAGAUAGUGCACAUUAUGUUUUACUAAAAUAAAAUAUCAGGCUGGGGAUUUAGCUCAGUGGUUCCACCGCCUGCCUUGAAAGCUCAAAGACCCAAGUUCGAUCCCCAGUACCACACACACACAAAAAAAACCCUAAAAUAAAAUAUCCACUAAUAGUCAAGGAUAAAUUCUGUAUAUUUUAAAACAGCAUCACUGGG
rnacentral:lncRNA from 1 species